rnacentral:ncRNA from 1 species
UGAGUUGGGUUAAUUACAUAAUUGAGCCCAAUUAAAACUGGAUAAAUUGCAUGAACAACUGAUGGUAUUCAGUCAACUUGCAGCGAAACUAUAUAUCAGCAAUAUUCAAAAGAUAAUAGAACGUUCAACGACUAAUGGAUGAGCUUAUGCUAGCAAUAAUUCCGACAAGAUAAUCCAGCAUUUCUAUUAAUGGAAUGAUGACAUAGUCUGAUCAGUAGUGUGAAUUACUG